rnacentral:rRNA from 1 species
GAUGAACGCUGGCGGCGUGCCUAACACAUGCAAGUCGAACGGCAAGGCCCUGCGUUCGUGCUGUUCCCGGUUGCCGGUGGCGUGCGUGUCACGUAUGUAUCCUACCCUACUCUUUCGUGUAGCAUCACGUAACGGAGCCUACUAUCGUACCGCAGCCCCUCUACGAUGGAGAGCAUUGGAAAUUCUGACCUUGCGGGGUUGAAUUCGCGGCUGUCGGAGUAGCUAGUUGGCGGGGUACAGGCCCACCAAGGCGACGAUCCGUAGCUGGGCUGAGUGGAUGAUCAGCCACACUGGAACUGAGACACGGUCCAGACUCCUACGGGAGGCAGCAGUGGGGAAUAGUGGACAAUGGGCGCAAGCCUGAUCCAGCCAUGCCGCGUGGGUGAAGAAGGCCUUCGGGCUGUAAAGCCCUGUUGUUGGGAAAGAAAAGCAGCAGGUUAAUACCCCGCUGUUCUGACGGUACCCAAAGAAUAAGCACCGGCUAACUUCGUG